rnacentral:rRNA from 1 species
CAGCAGUAGGGAAUCUUCCGCAAUGGACGAAAGUCUGACGUAGCAACGCCGCGUGAGCGAUGAAGGCCUUCGGGUCGUAAAGCUCUGUUGUCACGGAAGAACAAGUACCGGAGUAACUGCCGGUACCUUGACGGUACCAGACCAGAAAGCCCCGGCUAAAUACGUGCCAGCACCCGCGGUAAUAUGUAGGUGGCAAGCGUUGUCCUGAAUUAUUGGGCGUAAAUCGCGCGCAUGCGGUUCUUUAAGUCUCAUGUGAAAGCCCCCGGCUCAACCGGGGAGGGUCACUGGAAACUGGGGAACUUGAGUGCAGAAGAGGAGAGCGGAAUUCCACGUGUAGCGCUGAAAUGCGUAGAGAUGUGGAGGAACACCAGUGGCGAAGGCGCCUCUCUGGUCUGUAACUGACGCUGAUGGCGCGAAAGCGUGGGGAGCGAACACGAUUAGAUAUCCUGGUAGUACCACGCC